UACGUAGGGUGCGAGCGUUGUCCGGAAUUAUUGGGCGUAAAGAGCUUGUAGGCGGUUUGUCGCGUCUGCUGUGAAAAUCCGGGGCUCAACCCCGGACUUGCAGUGGGUACGGGCAGACUAGAGUGCGGUAGGGGAGACUGGAAUUCCUGGUGUAGCGGUGAAAUGCGCAGAUAUCAGGAGGAACACCGAUGGCGAAGGCCGGUCUCUGGGCCACUACUGACGCUGAGAAGCGAAAGCAUGGGGAGCGAACAGGAUUAGAUACCCCGGUA
rnacentral:rRNA from 1 species